UCCCCCGAUCGCGGUGGCCGUUUGCGUGUCUGGGACGGCACUGGCCGGUCCUCUGGGUUUCCACGGAGAUGGUUUCCCGGCGUCUGUUCCUCAGGCUGACUUGCUGCACAGGCCAGAGACAAUUCCUUGAGAUCUAGAACAACUGAUGAGGGGAUGCCUCAGCAGUGCCUCCAGCAGUGCUCAGCACGCAUCAAGUUUAUUGAGGAAAAGAGAACAGCAAAGAGAGACGUCUGCAUAGACACAGGCUUCUGAAAGAAAAAAAAGCUGCAUUUUGUCAGGGUAAGGGGCGUUCUUUCAUAAGGUCCCUUGAUGGAAUUAUUGUGGAAAUUAUUGCCUUGGUGUCAGAAUGGAUUGGUCUUCUAAGUUUGAUAAUCCUCUCUGCUCCCACCUCUGGCUGAUCAUCUUUUCUGACCCCACCUUAGAUUGCUGGAACCUUCCGUAUUUGGGUUAAUAAAGA